AACGAACGCUGGCGGCAGGCCUAACACAUGCAAGUCGAGCGAGACCUUCGGGUCUAGCGGCGGACGGGUUAGUAACGCGUGGGAACGUGCCCUUCUCUGCGGAAUAGCCACUGGAAACGGUGAGUAAUACCGCAUACGCCCUUCGGGGGAAAGAGUUUAUCGGAGAAGGAUCGGCCCGCGUUAGAUUAGAUAGUUGGUGGGGUAACGGCCUACCAAGUCUACGAUCUAUAGCUGGUUUUAGAGGAUGAUCAGCAACACUGGGACUGAGACACGGCCCAGACUCCUACGGGAGGCAGCAGUGGGGAAUCUUAGACAAUGGGCGCAAGCCUGAUCUAGCCAUGCCGCGUGUGUGAUGAAGGUCUUAGGAUCGUAAAGCACUUUCGCCAGGGAUGAUAAUGACAGUACCUGGUAAAGAAACCCCGGCUAACUCCGUG
rnacentral:rRNA from 1 species